AUACGGAGGAUCCAAGCGUUAUCCGGAUUUAUUGGGUUUAAAGGGUGCGUAGGCGGGAAAGGAAGUCAGUUGUGAAAUUUUAUGGCUCAACCAUAAACUUGCAGUUGAAACUCUUUUUCUUGAGUACACAUGAGGUGGGCGGAAUUUGUGGUGUAGCGGUGAAAUGCAUAGAUAUCACAAGGAACUCCAAUUGCGAAGGCAGCUCACUGGGGUGUAACUGACGCUAAUGCACGAAGGUGUGGGUAUCAAACAGGAUUAGAUACCCUGGUAGUCCACACAGUAAACGAUGAUUACUAGCUGUUUGCGAUAUACAGUAAGUGGCACAGCGAAAGCGUUAAGUAAUCCACCUGGGGAGUACGCCGGCAACGGUGAAACUUAAAGGAAUUGACGGGG
rnacentral:rRNA from 1 species